UACGUAGGGGCCUAGCGUUGUCCGGAUUUAUUGGGCGUAAAGAGCUCGUAGGCGGUUUGGUGAGUCGGGUGUGAAAUCUCCACGCUCAACGUGGAGGGGCCACCCGAUACUGCCAUGACUAGAGUCCGGUAGGGGAGUGUGGAAUUCCCGGUGUAGCGGUGAAAUGCGCAGAUAUCGGGAGGAACACCCGUAGCGAAGGCGGCACUCUGGGCCGGAACUGACGCUGAGGAGCGAAAGCGUGGGGAGCAAACAGG
rnacentral:rRNA from 1 species